GACGAACGCUGGCGGCGUGCCUAAUACAUGCAAGUAGAACGCUGAAGAGAGGAGCUUGCUCUUCUUGGAUGAGUUGCGAACGGGUGAGUAACGCGUAGGUAACCUGCCUUGUAGCGGGGGAUAACUAUUGGAAACGAUAGCUAAUACCGCAUAACAAUGGAUGACACAUGUCAUUUAUUUGAAAGGGGCAAUUGCUCCACUACAAGAUGGACCUGCGUUGUAUUAGCUAGUAGGUGAGGUAACGGCUCACCUAGGCGACGAUACAUAGCCGACCUGAGAGGGUGAGCGGCCACACUGGGACGGAGACACGGCACAGACGCCUACGGGAGGCAGCAGUAGGGAAUCGUGGGCAAUGGGGGCAAACCUGACCGAGCAACGCCGCGUGAGUGAAGAAGGUUUUCGGAUCGUAAAGCUCGGUUGUAAGGCAAGAACGAGUGUGAGAGUGGAAAGUUCACACUGUGACGGUAGCUUACAAGAAAGGGACGGCUAACUACGUG
rnacentral:rRNA from 1 species